rnacentral:rRNA from 1 species
UACGGGGGGGGCAAGCGUUGUUCGGAAUUACUGGGCGUAAAGGGCGCGUAGGCGGCCUUCUAAGUCGUGCGUGAAAUCCCCCGGCUCAACCGGGGAACUGCGUUCGAUACUGGAAGGCUUGAAUCCGGGAGAGGGAUGUGGAAUUCCAGGUGUAGCGGUGAAAUGCGUAGAUAUCUGGAGGAACACCGGUGGCGAAGGCGGCAUCCUGGACCGGUAUUGACGCUGAGGCGCGAAAGCUAGGGGAGCAAACGGC